rnacentral:tRNA from 1 species
GUCCCUGUAGCGCAAUGGAUGGCACAUUGGACUUCUAAUCCAAAAGUCGUAGGCUCGAAUCCUACCUUGGAUG